rnacentral:rRNA from 1 species
AUCGAACGCUGGCGGCAGGCCUAACACAUGCAAGUCGAGCGGCAGCGGGAAAGUAGCUUGCUACUUUUGCCGGCGAGCGGCGGACGGGUGAGUAAUGCCUGGGAAAUUGCCCAGUCGAGGGGGAUAACAGUUGGAAACGACUGCUAAUACCGCAUACGCCCUACGGGGGAAAGCAGGGGACCUUCGGGCCUUGCGCGAUUGGAUGAACCCAGGUGGGAUUAGCUAGUUGGUGAGGUAAUGGCUCACCAAGGCGACGAUCCCUAGCUGGUCUGAGAGGAUGAUCAGCCACACUGGAACUGAGACACGGUCCAGACUCCUACGGGAGGCAGCAGUGGGGAAUAUUGCACAAUGGGGGAAACCCUGAUGCAGCCAUGCCGCGUGUGUGAAGAAGGCCUUCGGGUUGUAAAGCACUUUCAGCGAGGAGGAAAGGUUGGUAGCUAAUAACUGCCAGCUGUGACGUUACUCGCAGAAGAAGCACCGGCUAACUCCGUGCCAGCCGCCGCGGUAACAC